rnacentral:rRNA from 1 species
AAAUUGAAGAGUUUGAUCAUGGCUCAGAUUGAACGCUGGCGGCAGGCCUAACACAUGCAAGUCGAACGGUAACAGGAAGAAGCUUGCUUCUUUGCUGACGAGUGGCGGACGGGUGAGUAAUGUCUGGGAAACUGCCUGAUGGAGGGGGAUAACUACUGGAAACGGUAGCUAAUACCGCAUAACGUCGCAAGACCAAAGAGGGGGACCUUCGGGCCUCUUGCCAUCGGAUGUGCCCAGAUGGGAUUAGCUAGUAGGUGGGGUAACGGCUCACCUAGGCGACGAUCCCUAGCUGGUCUGAGAGGAUGACCAGCCACACUGGAACUGAGACACGGUCCAGACUCCUACGGGAGGCAGCAGUGGGGAAUAUUGCACAAUGGGCGCAAGCCUGAUGCAGCCAUGCCGCGUGUAUGAAGAAGGCCUUCGGGUUGUAAAGUACUUUCAGCGGGGAGGAAGGGAGUAAAGUUAAUACCUUUACUCAUUGACGUUACCCGC